rnacentral:rRNA from 1 species
CAGCAGCCGCGGGAACACGGAGGGGGCAAGCGUUGUCCGGAAUUAUUGGGCGUAAAGGGCUCGCAGGCGGUUUCUUAAGUCUGAUGUGAAAGCCCCCGGCUCAACCGGGGAGGGUCAUUGGAAACUGGGAAACUUGAGUGCAGAAGAGGAGAGUGGAAUUCCACGUGUAGCGGUGAAAUGCGUAGAGAUGUGGAGGAACACCAGUGGCGAAGGCGACUCCCUGGUCUGUAACUGACGCUGAGGAGCGAAAGCGUGGGGAGCGAACAGGAUUAGAGACCCCGGUAGUCCCUGUCUCUUAUAC